rnacentral:rRNA from 1 species
GAUGAACGCUGGCGGCGUGCCUAAUACAUGCAAGUCGAGCGAACGGACGAGAAGCUUGCUUCUCUGAUGUUAGCGGCGGACGGGUGAGUAACACGUGGAUAACCUACCUAUAAGACUGGGAUAACUUCGGGAAACCGGAGCUAAUACCGGAUAAUAUUUUGAACCGCAUGGUUCAAAAAUGAAAGACGGUCUUGCUGUCACUUAUAGAUGGAUCCGCGCUGCAUUAGCUAGUUGGUAAGGUAACGGCUUACCAAGGCAACGAUGCAUAGCCGACCUGAGAGGGUGAUCGGCCACACUGGAACUGAGACACGGUCCAGACUCCUACGGGAGGCAGCAGUAGGGAAUCUUCCGCAAUGGGCGAAAGCCUGACGGAGCAACGCCGCGUGAGUGAUGAAGGUCUUCGGAUCGUAAAACUCUGUUAUUAGGGAAGAACAUAUGUGUAAGUAACUGUGCACAUCUUGACGGUACCUAAUCAGAAAGCCACGGCUAACUACGU